rnacentral:rRNA from 1 species
CUUGUAACCAUAAGAGGUCCAGCCUGCCCAGUGAUUUUAUUUAACGGCCGCGGUAUUCUAACCGUGCGAAGGUAGCGCAAUCACUUGUUUUCUAAAUAAAGACCAGUAUGAAAGGCAUCACGAGAACUUAACUGUCUCCUUUCUCCAAUCAGUGAACCUAAUCUCCCCGUGAAGAAGCGGGGAUCCCCCUAUAAGACGAGAAGACCCUGUGGAGCUUAAAAUAUAAUAUCAACUACUGCCCCAAUUACCCCCCCCACUUCCCCAGCGGCACCCUGAUCACAUAUUUUUGGUUGGGGUGACCGCGGAGAAAAACUUACCCUCCGUGAUGAAAAAGAAUUCCCUUAAACAACAAGUUACAACUUUAUGUAUCAAAAAAUUGACAUUCAUUGACCCAAUAAAUUGAUUAACGAAC